rnacentral:lncRNA from 1 species
GAAAGGUGUGUCUCUCAUCACUGCCUGACUGGUCUCUGCUUCCUGUUCUGGUCACUGUACCCACUUCCUCUCCAGGGACCAAUUCCUCCCUCAUGCUCCACCCAUGGUUGGGGGUGGCACUGGCCUCACACCCUGGCUUCGGGUGGCAAGUGUCCCAGGCCUGGCCAAUCAGAGUAUUCCACUCGUGACCCCUGGCCAUGCCAAUAGCUAAUGCAUGAGCUGGAAAGUAAAUCCUGUUGAGAAAAAGAAAACUUGGGACGGACUGCCAGGCAGAGGCAUGACAUGAGCCUCUUGCUGCCAACAGUCAUCAUGUGGAGAGGGUCUGCCAGAGAGAGAGGAAGAUAAAUGGAAAACAAACUGUGGAGUAAGCAAGCAAGAUAAAGAAAGAAAGCGGACGGCAUUAUUUGAGCCCCUGGAGCCAGCUGUACCUGACAUUUCAGUUACACACUGAACUGGGAGGAAAAUCUUUCUUGGAGAUCUCCCUGCACAUUGCCCCAUUGGUAAAGAUUAGAUCCCAUUGUCCAUGCUCUGGAUGCAAAGGAGCCUAGUGAGUUGAAACACCGCAAGACCAGGGUGGCCUUCCU